CCACAUCACUAUACAAUGCGGCAGUUGUGUGCGGCCGGUAACAGUAAUUUUGUCGGCGGGCCAUCGGCAGACAGUCACUCACUCGUGCUGUGUAUGCAUAUUCGACGUGAAACAACUCAUUCAGGUGUUCGUUCCGUGGCUCGCUGGUAAUGCGGUGAAACUGGUAACGCCCUUGCCCAUAGUGCCAGCAUCCAACAAACCACCUACUACACAUGUGUAUGUACCGCGUCACAGGCCAGCGUUUUUGGACUGUGUGUCAUUCGCACGCUUGCAGAACACCCCCGAACCCAAAGCAUCUCGCUCCCCGCUGUUCUGUCUGCCGUUUGUCACUAGUAGUAAUAAACUGCUGGCAGGGGCAGCUAAGGUUGAGGGUCGCUCGAUCGGGCGCCUAUGCGGGGAAUGAUUCAGUAAACACAGCCAACUGUUUUGGAGUAUUUUAAGCAUGGAACGGUGCGAGUGGAACACGAGAAUCAUUAGUCUGCGGAAUACACUGCUCUGUUGGUGCGCACUAGUUAUCGUUGCACACAACAAAGGGGUCAAUGGACAAGACUGCCUGUUUCGAGCUGACCUUUGUGAUUGGUCAAACCAUGGGGAUGUGGACUGGGUGCAGAGUUCGGAGUUUGCUACGACGGGAACAGCGCACUGUGCUCAGGUACCGAUCAG